AUGGGGUAUGGCUGCAGGGGAGGGGACGCAGCCAACGACAGGAAGAAGAAGCAGGUCGUCGAGGACUACAAGCAGCAGGUUUCCUUUGACUGGAAGUCUGAAACUGAAGAUAGGGCAUAUUGUUUUGGUUCUGAGUGGCCGGAGAUAUUGUUGCUUGAUGUCCCUAGAGCACUCGGACCCUUCCAAGAUAGGGUCGAACUGCGCUAUAUUUCUUUCAUUGAGGCGAGGGUGAUUCCAGUAGGUGAGAUUUUGCUUGGCGUACUCGCCUUUUUUAUUGAAGUUGGGUGUCCGUCUUCUCUGCGGCAAGUGUCCCUUGAUGGUUCUCCACUUCAGACACUAAAGCUUCAUAUAAAAUCAGUACUGACAUGGUCAUUUUACAGUGUAAAAAUGAUCUAUGCUGUCGCGGCAACACAGGCCAAUACACAUUCAGGAAAUAUGUCACCAACUUCCCCAAGGUCCCGCAUCGUCUACUCAGGAUAUUCUGUGCCCCAAGCCCUACAGAAUAAUGCCCAGUCUAAUUUCAGCAGUGGGCAUGACAGCCUCAAACUUCUCUCUUCAAUAUUGAAGAAGCGGCUUACUCAGAUCAAUGGGCAUGCACUUAGAAAAAUAGCUAAAGAGUACGAGAUAUUCCUAGUGUAA
rnacentral:rRNA from 1 species